GGUGCACUGUCACAGUAGUGGUGGAAGUCACUAAUGCAGCUUUUAAACUGUUCAGGACCUUUUCAUCUAGGGAGAGCUUGGGAUCACACCUUCAUUUCUCUUGGGUGUAACAUCAUUCAGUGCACAGAAAACAUUAGUCAAGAUCCACCACUGAUUAGAAUCUUUCCAAUUAUUCAAAAAUAAUUCUGAGUUGAAAUUUAAUUCUCAAACUUAAAGCACCCACUCUUUGCACAGCAUUUCUCUUAUUGCACUCACCACUUGGUAAAAAGAGGAAACCAUGAAAUCAAAUACAUGGGAUCUAUCAAAAAGAAAAGUCUGUUCAAUAUUUUUAAUAGUAUUUUUUAAACAAAGUCAUUGAUUGGAUUCUUUCAUUGGUCCCUGAAUUCACAUUUAUUAUCAUAUCUGCACUACAUACACCAACCAGUGCAUAUAAACAUGAAUUGAUUCCAGAAGGGACAACAACAACAAAAACUGAAUGAACAAGCAAACGUGUGUCAGUAAUACUACCAAGGACACAUGAAUAUGAGCCCCUGUCUAGAUCCUAACACCUUUCUUUGCUGGCUUACACAUUCUUUCUCUGAAUGGCAGUAUUAGUUACUUUUCUGUAGCUGUGAUAAAAUGCCAUGACCAGAGGUAAGUUAAAGAAAGGUUUACUUGGCUCAUGGUUCCACAGCCAAGAUGUUGUGUUCAGAGGAGAAAUGGCAGCAAGCAACUGGUGCAGGAAGCUGAGAGAUUACAUCUUCUCAUACAGGUAUCAUACACAUACACAGACAUAGACAGACAGAAUGACAGAGACAGAAAGAGAGACAGAGAAAGAUAGAGACAGAGACAGAGAGAUUGAGAAUUGGAAGUGAAGAAAUGUCAUGUCAUGGAGCAGGUAACUCCAAGGUUAAAACCUUCCAUCUUAGAAGGAAACAUCUUAAAACAUAGGAUGUAAAGAGAAAGUGAAAUGAUGGGUUUUUUUUAGAGUGUUUGCCUUUAUUUCUUUAGGUGAAACAACAGGAUGUUCUACUGGAAGGUGAAACACUCCAGCCUGUAGGGAAGCUCUAUUAAGACCGGAAAUAAACAACUCAAAAUAGCCUCAGGAAGUCCCUGAAACUGAGCAGAUUCACUAGGUCACUCCUUUCCCAAGAGUAUCUAAGCAGCAAAGACUGCUGAGCAUCCCUCUCAGGUAAGCCAAGCUGCAAAGGAUAAUCUGAGACAAGCCUAGUAGACUGGAAGAAACAUAGGCCAGCUGAAUGCCUGAAGGGGCUCAGACUAACUGAACUAUUUAGAAAGGACACUCUCCAACCUGUUGAGCUGAGUGUAGGCUUUGCAGUUUGCUCCAGGUUCCUAGCUUUUAUGAGCUUUCAGCCAUGCUAGAGUCAACUUUUGUGAUGCCACUGUCUUUGAUUCUUUCUGAAUCUGUAAGUCACACCAGUAAAACUCAACAAGUUGGAAUUUUGGUGGUGUCCAUAUUUUGAACUGUUGUCAGUUUUCUAUCAGAGGUGAGAAGAUGUUUGCUCAUGUCGCCCAGGAAUAAUGUCGCACAACACCUAUAAACUCUCAAAGACAGCCCCUAGUGACAUACUUCCUCCAACAAGUCCUAAAAGUUCCAUAAAUCUCAAAACAGUACCAUCAACUGGAGACCAAGUUGUUUAAAUACAUGAACCUAAUGGAGAAAUUCCUUAUAAUUCAAGCCACCACAAUAGCUUUGUGAAAUAUUUUGUAGAAGGAUUUUAAGACAAGAUGCCUCUUUGCUGAUUAAUGUCACACAGAGAAAGUGACUCCCUCUUUCUAAGGCUUAUUUAAACUUAACCUCUCAAAUGGUUCUUGAGAGUUCAUACAUUAAUCCAGCCAUUACAGCAGACAUGUAUAUGUUCCAUCAAUAUCACACAGCUCUAAAUGUGUGAGACUAUGACAAAAAUUCAAAUUAAAUGCUAACUCCUUAUUUCUAGAAAAUAGAUGCCUCAGCCAGACACAGCAUGCAUAGUAUAGGUUAUCAAGGUAACCUAUAUGCUGCUCUGCUCUCACAAAAGAACUGAAGCUUUUUAGAAGGAGUUUACAAAUUUGUUUGCCACACUAACUCACACUUUUUGCUCUGAUUUUCUAUGAUUCAGAAGCAUACUUUUAAAAUUCAGCAGUGGCAAUGGGGUAAGCCCUAAACCCCAACAUGGCCUCC
rnacentral:lncRNA from 1 species